GUUGAGUCCCCCUCAUAAGCUCACACACCAUCCGAGCAGACAGGUUGGCUUGGCCCCACCAAGCAAUGAGACCUCGCCUCCUGGGCGCUUGAGCCAACGAAGCCGAAGCAGAGAUGGCGAGAUGCCGACGCCAGCGCCGCCGCCGCCACCGCCGCAGGAGGCGUUCCCGCAGAAGGACAAGGAAGAGCAGGAGAAGGUGCACCUGUAGAAGACCACCAUUAAAGAAGAGGAAGGGGUACGUGCGUGUGAUGACGACGUACUACUACAGGAGAUGAUCUGCGAGGCCUGUCUGUGGGCCGGUCUGGAGCCGUGCAUCUCAUCAGCAAUCCCCCAGCCAACACGCCUCCUGCUUCUUGAGGGUGAAAAUCAGCAACGCCCCUCACCGGAAACACCACAAGAGACAAGCCAGCUAACGGGGCACUCUGCAAGACCCAGGAGGCUUCCUGCCACCAACCUGCCAGUAAAGCUGUAAAACGCAUGGUGUGUCAGCACAUCCUUGGGAAAGGGUCAUAAUCGUUGGCCUCUUGAGAUACAUGGCAGAGAUGCGUCAACUCACCACCUGAAGGAGGCCAAUACCAUCCACCAAGACAGGUGAAUGGCCCCAUGGAGAAACAGCCAUUCAGCUGCUGCAGAGAUCUUGGAAACAGGAAACGAUGAGAUACAGGCGAUACCACAGGCACCGAAGCAGAAGAACCUCCCGUUUUAGAAGACACGCCAGGGACAGGAAGCAAGGAGCAAAGAGAGGCAGGAGGAGACGCAGAAGGAGGAGACGCAGGAGGAGGAGAGGCAGAAAAGGAGGUGAAACCCACUGCCACUAUAGGAUACGUGUGAUGUAUUAAGCCUUCUGCUGCAUCCCGUCCUAUGUCCUGUAACAUAUAAACAAUCCCAUUGGGACCAUCUUGACUUCUGGGAGCACAAGGACUAAGAGCCACUGGCCAUAAGAACCACCUGGUAGUAAACUUGGUUGAACGAAUCGUAUGCUGUGAUUUUACUUUGUAUCACCGGGGUCUUUACCAGGUAACUUUUCUAGUCUUUUCUAGGGUUAGGAUGAUUCCUUAAAGGUGUUUCUUCUAAUAGUGGCCAUUUGAGGACAGCGUUCUGAGAACAAAUGAGGAAGCGGCUUUCUAGGUGAAGCAGUAGAGUCGCAUUCUGGCCACGUUGUGGAAGGCAUCACGUUCUCCACCAGCCUCUGCGGAGGUAAAUGACAGCAGCUGGGCCACGUUCCCUGAAAUGGCUCAACAGGAAGGCCCUUCCCAGCUCUUCUCUGCCCUCAUUUCCUCCUGCCUCCCUCUCCUUGUGGGAGGAAGGGAUGGGCUGAGGUGGACGCCCUGUCCGCGGAAGAACAUGCUGCACCCAAGGAGACCGCAGGGAAAUGGCCUAUGACAUAAUAGGUGGAACGCCUAAAGGCCAGGUGGUGUCACCGCACCGACAAUGGCUCGUUAAUACUCCACUCUUGACAGCCUGCUAGUUUUCAUCUCUGCUUCUUCCACUGCUCCCCCCUCGGAGGUGCAGAGUGAGCAGGUGAGGCGCUGGGUUUUUUUGCGACCAAUCAGACGACUCUCCUGCCUUUUCCUGUCACUACCACGGCAUCAUUUUUGCCCCGACCACCGUUAGUCUUCCCUCAUGCCAGUGACCUCUCCGAGCACAGCGUCUGCUCCGGUUAUGAAAGAUGAAACAAAGCCGAGAGGAUGCCAAUCCUCACACAGGUCCAUGACACAGUCAAUGAAAUCUACAUCCAGCCAGAUGGUAACCUUAGGGCGGAUGCUGUGUUCUUCAGCUCGGAUGCUUGGAAGUUCUGCACUGCUAUUGCUGAAGAGUUUGCUGCAGAAGCGUAGGACACAAGGAAAGAUGCUUGAAAGAAGGAUAGACUGUUUUCAGAAUAAUAAAGAGAAUGAAUUGA